ACGGCGGACGGGUGAGUAACGCGUGGGUAACCUACCCUGUACACACGGAUAACAUACCGAAAGGUAAUGCUAAUACGGGAUAAUAUAUUUGAGAGGCAUCUCUUGAAUAUCAAAGGUGAGCCAGUACAGGAUGGACCCGCGUCUGAUUAGCUAGUUGGUAAGGUAACGGCUUACCAAGGCGACGAUCAGUAGCCGACCUAAGAGGGUGAUCGGCCACAUUGGAACUGAGACACGGUCCAA
rnacentral:rRNA from 1 species